ACUAUGCUGUAUAUCAAUAUGUACAUAAAUACUCGUUGUUUUGCCCUUGUCUUUCUUUUGCGGUUAUCCAGCUCAAGUCCCUGCAGGCCAAAGGGAAAAAAAAAGGAAAAGCAAAUCAACCUUGUGGCCUGCUUUGAUUCCACCACAAUGGCUUGUUCUCCUCUCUGCGCUCGCUUGGAGGGCGUGAACAGCCGCCACCUUCUCAGAGAAUCAAUUCAAGUGGGAGCAGUUGACCCAGUGGCGCGCGAUAAGCCCCGUCGUCUGACAUCACUGGGCCUCGCAGUCCUGCUGAUGAGGCCCGUGGAGGAUGCAAAGACUUUUCAAGCUUUUGGACCACACACAUGUUGCACCCCAUUGUGACGUGUGACACAGUGCUGGACCGCACAAGAGCGACCCGAUGACCGGAACUUAUGGAAGAACCUGUCGAGGUCUUUGUCUGUGGCAGAGGGAGGACCCCACCCUCCCUUGCGGGGUUGCGGUAUGGAACACUCUUCUUCUUCCACUUCAGCGUCACACGCAAUCUGACAUCCGUGUCAGGAUGACAGUUUUCUCAUCUUCUCUUUGUUCCACACACUUAAGAGAAGACCUGUUCUCAGGCAAAAAAAAA